GACGAACGCUGGCGGCGUGCUUAACACAUGCAAGUCGAACGGAAAGGCCCCCUUGUGGGGUACUCGAGUGGCGAACGGGUGAGUAACACGUGAGUAACCUACCCUUGACUUUGGGAUAACUUCAGGAAACUGGGGCUAAUACCGGAUAGGAGCUCCUGCUGCAUGGUGGGGGUUGGAAAGUUUCGGCGGUUGGGGAUGGACUCGCGGCUUAUCAGCUUGUUGGUGGGGUAGUGGCUCACCAAGGCUUUGACGGGUAGCCGGCCUGAGAGGGUGACCGGCCACAUUGGGACUGAGAUACGGCCCAGACUCCUACGGGAGGCAGCAGUGGGGAAUAUUGCACAAUGGGCGGAAGCCUGAUGCAGCAACGCCGCGUGCGGGAUGACGGCCUUCGGGUUGUAAACCGCUUUCGCCUGUGACGAAGCGUGAGUGACGGUAAUAGGUAAAGAAGCACCGGCUAACUACGUG
rnacentral:rRNA from 1 species